rnacentral:lncRNA from 12 species
GAAGGGGCUCGCCCGCACCACCUUUGUUCUCCUGUGAUCAAUGCAGCCCCAUGAUUCUGGACCACUGCCAGGGAAAGGCUGGGCAGCAGACUGAGCCAUUCCAGGUCCUAGGAGAGAACUGCCUGGGCGUACUGCAGGGACCCACCUCCAGGCAGAGAGCACCAGCUAGUCCAGAACUUUCCCAUCACCCGAAUGAAGGCUAUUGAAAUCUGACAACUGGGCUCCCCACAGUGGGCCACCCCCUGACCCCACGUGGGUAUGAAGGGCCGCCUUCUCAGCAAGCACACAGGCCAGUACCCUCCGAGGCAUCCUGUAAAUGAGGUCACCUGCAGGAACCUCCAGGGAGAAAGAGUCAAAUCCGUUCCUGUUAGUCCUUUAUUCCACAUGUUCGUUGAAUGUGGACUGUCGAAUAUUUGUUGGCGAGCGCGAUGCUUGCGGUUCGUAUCCUGAAAGACGUGGGAUGGAGUUUACUUGGAAUCAGUCUUGGUUUUGAAGUCCUUGGUGCAAAGCGUCGAUCUGCACCUGCCGGAUGGAGGUAAACUGAUGCCUGAACCAAGCUCAGCGUCGUGACGCGGGUCUGUAACGAUAGGGACCCAGUCUUGGUUUCGCGAAGUCGGGAAGAACACAACGUCACCCCUCGUCACCACCGCUGUUUAGUCGGGGACCUAAGACAAACACACAAAAUAGUGAGACGCCAGCUGGUGGUCGGGGACCUGCCCGAAGGCAUCGCCCCAGCGGCUCUGGCCGCCGACCCCGGGAGGCCACAGCGUGGUUGCUGUACCCGGAGGCAUCGGCGCUGAGUUCCAGGAAGGGAGAAGGUGAAGAGGGAAGGACCAAAGGGGUGUGUUGCUUCUUAUUAUCAGGAAAAUAAAAGUUUUCCUCGGGAGCCUCA